rnacentral:rRNA from 1 species
GAGUUUGAUCCUGGCUCAGAUUGAACGCUGGCGGCAUGCCUUACACAUGCAAGUCGAACGGCAGCACGGGAGCUUGCUCCUGGUGGCGAGUGGCGAACGGGUGAGUAAUGCAUCGGAACGUAUCCUGGAGUGGGGGAUAGCGUAGCGAAAGUUACGCUAAUACCGCAUAUUCUGUGAGCAGGAAAGCGGGGGACCUUCGGGCCUCGCGCUCUUGGAGCGGCCGAUGUCGGAUUAGCUAGUUGGUGAGGUAAAGGCUCACCAAGGCGACGAUCCGUAGCAGGUUUGAGAGGAUGAUCUGCCACACUGGAACUGAGACACGGUCCAGACUCCUACGGGAGGCAGCAGUGGGAUUUGGACAAGUGGGGCAACCCUGAUCCAGCCAUCGCCGCGUGAGUGAAGAA